CCUACGGGGGGCAGCAGUGGGGGAUAUUGCACAAUGGGGGGAACCCUGAUGCAGCGACGCCGCGUGGGUGAAGAAGCGCCUCGGCGCGUAAAGCCCUGUCAGCAGGGAAGAAAAUGACGGUACCUGAAGAAGAAGCCCCGGCUAACUACGUGCCAGCAGCCGCGGUAAUACGUAGGGGGCAAGCGUUAUCCGGAUUUACUGGGUGUAAAGGGGGCGUAGACGGCUGUGCAAGCCAGAUGUGAAAGCCCGGGGCUCAACCCCGGGACUGCAUUUGGAACUGUGUGGCUGGAGUGUCGGAGAGGCAGGCGGAAUUCCUAGUGUAGCGGUGAAAUGCGUAGAUAUUAGGAGGAACACCAGUGGCGAAGGCGGCCUGCUGGACGAUGACUGACGUUGAGGCUCGAAAGCGUGGGGAGCAAACAGGAUUAGAUACCCCGGUAGUC
rnacentral:rRNA from 1 species